rnacentral:misc_RNA from 1 species
CUUCCUCUGCGGUUGCGGAGUCACGCAUCGUGCUCGGCGUUUGGAGGUGACGCGUCCUCUUCGCUCUCGUCUUUCUUGCCACGCGCUGCUAAUCGCAAUUUGCUCACCGGCGGCUCCUUUUAAGACUAACUUCGCGCUAAUUUGGAGAUGACAGCGUCUCCGAGAGCGCCACAUCAGGAGCACGUCCUCGGAGAGCCGACCUUGGAAGGGCUUGCGCGCUACAUCAGGGAGAAGAAUGUGCGGCGCAUUCUCGUGCUCGUCGGAGCAGGCGCCAGUGUAGCUGCCGGCAUCCCAGACUUUCGCUCACCUGACACCGGGAUCUACGCCAACCUCGGCAAGUACAACCUCGAAGACCCGACCGAUGCCUUUUCACUGACCCUUCUGCGCGAGAAGCCAGAGAUAUUCUACUCUAUCGCACGGGAGCUGAACUUGUGGCCUGGGCACUUUCAGCCCACCGCGGUACAUCACUUCAUCCGACUGUUGCAAGACGAGGGCCGUCUCCUGCGCUGCUGCACGCAGAACAUUGACGGCCUGGAGAAGGCAGCGGGCGUGUCGCCGGAGCUCCUCGUCGAGGCGCAUGGCUCUUUCGCUGCUGCCGCCUGCAUUGAAUGCCACACACCAUUCAGCAUUGAGCAGAACUACCUGGAGGCGAUGAGCGGUACGGUCUCCCGCUGCUCUACAUGCGGCGGCAUUGUGAAGCCCAACGUCGUUUUCUUUGGUGAAAAUUUGCCGGACGCGUUCUUCGACGCGCUGCACCACGACGCCCCGAUCGCGGAGCUGGUCAUCAUCAUCGGGACAUCGAUGCAGGUGCACCCGUUCGCGUUGCUGCCGUGCGUCGUGCCCAAGUCAGUCCCGCGCGUUGUCAUGAACCGUGAGCGAGUUGGCGGCCUCCUCUUCCGCUUUCCUGAUGACCCGCUCAACACCGUCCACGAGGAUGCGGUUGCCAAGGAGGGACGCUCGUCCUCUUCGCAGAGUCGUUCCCCGUCCGCGUCGCCACGGCGCGAGGAGGGGGGAACAGAGGACAGCCCCUCGUCGCCAAACGAGGAGGUCGAAGAGGCGUCGACGUCCAGCUCGAGCGACGGCUACGGGCAGUACGGUGACUACCACGCCCACCCCGAUGUCUGCCGGGAUGUUCUCUUCCGCGGCGACUGCCAGGAGAACGUGGUGACGCUCGCGGAGUACCUGGGGCUGAGCGAGGCGCUGGCAAAGCGCAUGCGCUUAUCCGAUGCAGCACCAGCUACUGCACAGAGGGCGCCGAAUGAGACGUGAGCCUGAAUCGCUGCCACCCUGGUAACUGAAGAGAGAUCGGGAAGGUCGUAGACAGAGCAGCUGAGCGUGUCGAAGGCGGUCACACGCACCGCGCGUAGCCUCGCCUCGAAUCAUUUCAGCACUGUUGCUUUUACGCAUGAUGUGUGCCGGUGCAGAAAUAGGGAGCUCGGUGCUCUUGCGUACCCAGCCAACAUUGCAUCAUGGCCGCCCCUCUCUCACUAUUCCUACGCCCUCCGAUCGCGAGAUCGAGUAACGUACACAAACGGGGGGGGGAGGGGAGCGAAUGUGGGAAGAGUCGGCACAGCCAAACACCUGCAUGACCACACCGUGAACUAGUGCAUCUCUGUCAUCACGGAACUCACUCUUAAGCGUGCCGGGCAACGCGUACGAAUCCACGGACACUCAUGGCCUCUCUCUCCACCACAGGGACGUGCACGGCAGCGGUAGUCGCUGCCGUGUCGACGCCGACGGUGCUCGAUAGGGAGGCGCACGCCAUCUCUGCAACCCGCGCGCGGACACUUUCUGGGCUCCGCUCCUCCCUUGCUCUGCGUCUCAGCGCGAGAGAAAGAGGCAGGAUGGCUACCCUCCCCCGUCCUCCCUGCUACAGGGCCGUUGGCCAGCCGAAGUCGCUGCGUCGUGCCCAGCACGUCGGCAAAGUGCUCAUGAUUGCUUGGUGGGGGCUCUUGCGCUAAGAUGCGGUUUCACUUCCCUCUCGGCCGACUACACCCUUCCCCGUUUCUUCGUGUGUCGCGUGCCUGUGUCUGAUCACGUUCUGGUCUCCUUACUCGCCUCCUCUGUGGGCCGUGCGUGCUUAUGCGACUGCAG